rnacentral:rRNA from 1 species
UACGUAGGGCGCAAGCGUUAUCCGGAUUUAUUGGGCGUAAAGAGCUCGUAGGCGGUUUGUCGCGUCUGCCGUGAAAAUCCAGGGCUCAACCCUGGACGUGCGGUGGGUACGGGCUGGCUAGAGUGUGGUAGGGGAGACUGGAACUCCUGGUGUAGCGGUGAAAUGCGCAGAUAUCAGGAAGAACACCGAUGGCGAAGGCAGGUCUCUGGGCCAUUACUGACACUGAGAAGCGAAAGCAUGGGGAGCGAACAGG